ACCCCAUGUCUACAAAAAGUAAAAAAAUAUAUAUAUCUGUUUGGGCAUGGUGUACAUCUGUGGUCCCAGCUACUCAGGAGGCUGAGGCAGUAGGAUCCAUUGAGCCUGGAAGGCUAGGUUGCAAUGAGCCAUGUUGGUGCCACUGCAUUCCAGCCUGGGUGAGAGGGUGAGACCCUCUCAAAAAAAUAAAUAAAAAUAAAGUAAAAGCGUCAUUCAGAAUCUUCUUUUGAGAAGAGCCUAUGCAGGGGCAGGGUGUGUGGAAGAAGGGAAGAAAUGAUAGUGGCCUGAACCAGGGUAAGUCUUGUGUAGGUGGUUGAGAAGUGAUUCCUCUGGAAGGUAAAGUUACUGAUGGAACUGAAGGGAGGACAUGAAAGAGUCAAGGAUGACUCCAAGACUUUCGACCUGAGUGAUUCAAAGGAUGGAGUUACCAUCAGGUGAAAUGCGGGAAAGUUCAGAUGGAACAAAUCUGAGAGGUAAGAUCAAGAUUUCAGUUUUGGAAAUGUUAAGUUUGAGAUACUUUUUAGUGAUCUGAUUGGUGGUGUCAACUAGUCAGUUGGGAUGUAUGAUUCUGCAGCAGGACAGAGAGGUGUGGGCUAAAGAUCAAACUUUGGAAGUAAUUGGCACAUAGGUAGUAUUUCAAACCAUUAGAAUGAGUGUAGAUAGAAAACUGAAAAAAGAAGAUCAAGGACUGAACCCUGGAGGAGUCCUGCAUGAAGAGAUGGAAAGAAAAGGAGGACCCAGCAAAGGAGAAGGAGAAGAGAAAAUCAAGAGAGUAGAAUGUCAUGGAAGGCAAGUGAAGAAAGUGUUUGAGACCCUAAACUUGGCCAUGAUGGUAAAGGAUGCAAGGACAAUCCUCCAAAUAUUUUCCAGGUAGCUUGAUUGCUACCAACAAGGUGAGCCAUUUAGAUAAAUGGGAAUUUUUAUGCCUGUUAAUAUUUCCAGA
rnacentral:lncRNA from 1 species